ACAUGCAUAGCUCGGUCAAUAGAGCAUGAGACUCUUAUUCUUAAGGUUGUGGGUUCGAGCCCCACAUUGGGUGAA